CUUUUUUUUUUUAAAAACUUAAAACUCUUUUUUUUUUAUUUUGUGUUUCCAGCCCCCCCUUUUUUUUAAAGAAAACAGAAAGUUUUUUUGCUUUCUCUCCUUCCCCUUUUCUCCUCCAUUUCUCUCUUUUUAGCUAGGGCUUCAUACCCAUCAUCGCCGCCGCCGUUAAGGCCACCAUGGACGGUGGUUGAAGGCAUGUGAAAAGGAGGGUUUUUCACCUCCGUUUAAAGAGUUUGAAAACCGAGCCUCCUCAAAACCCCCCUCAAAAAAACGAUAUAUGAAAGAAAGGCCCCUUUUUCUUUCUUGAAAUCGACUUCAGCGAUGGAGAGGAGAACUCCAAUGGCCGACCACGGGGCGUUCGGGGUAUAGGAGUGUCAGACGCGUGGAGCGUGGUGACCAAGGCUGAGGGGCAUGCGUGGGGCGUGGUGGCCAAGGUUGAGGGGUAUGCGGCGGCUGAAGGUCUUGGUACCUAAGGUUGGUUGCUGAAAAAUUUUAGGAUAUUGGGCUAGUUGAGUUUUUAGGGUUUUAAUUUUUUUGGUCUAUAAUUGGGUUGAUAACUUUGUUUGUAAAUGGACUUUUAAUUUAGACUAUUUUAUUUGUGUUUAUUUAUCUGGGCCAAAAUUGGCUACUACAAUCAUUCAUUAAAA